rnacentral:rRNA from 1 species
UAAUGUAUGGGGAUCUGCCCGAUAGAGGGGGAUAACUACUGGAAACGGUGGCUAAUACCGCAUAAUGUCUACGGACCAAAGCAGGGGCUCUUCGGACCUUGCACUAUCGGAUGAACCCAUAUGGGAUUAGCUAGUAGGUGGGGUAAAGGCUCACCUAGGCGACGAUCUCUAGCUGGUCUGAGAGGAUGAUCAGCCACACUGGGACUGAGACACGACCCAG